GAUGAAGAACGUAGCGAAAUGCGAUACUUGGUGUGAAUUGCAGAAUCCCGUGAACCAUCGAGUCUUUGAACGCAAGUUGCGCCCGUAGCCAUUAGGCCGAGGGCACGCCUGCCUGGGCGUCACACGUCGUUGCCCCCCCAUCUACUCCUUCGGGAUUGCGGGGGGCGGAUGAUGGCCUCCCGUGCGCCUCGCCGCGCGGUUGGCAUAAAUGCCAAGUCCUCGGCGACGCACGCCACGACAAUCGGUGGUUGCGAAACCUCGGUUGCCCGUCGUGUGCGGUCGUCGCGCAUCGAGGGCUCGAAAAAAUUGCCGGGUUCCGGCUCGGCUUUCAACGCGACCCCAGGUCAGGCGGGGUUACCCGCUGAAUUUAAGCAUAUCAAUAAGCGGAGGA
rnacentral:misc_RNA from 1 species